rnacentral:lncRNA from 1 species
GGAACGGUGAUGUCUUGAGAGUCAGAAAGAAAACAGUGACCGAAUAGACAUGAUUUAUUGAAAAAUAUGCAGGGUUCUUCUGGGAGGUCUGUCAGGCCAGAGAGGUUUGCAAUGUAGGUCUGGCUUUACACCCUUACUUAAGAAAACAUCUUAUGGCUCCUCAAGGAUCUGAAGGAACCUAAUUCGCCACAUAGUAAAAUCUGUACUUCAUGGCCACCAGGAUUUUGUCAGCAAGUGCAUCUCAUCUUGACAUUCCUUCCCCAUGACUUUGAUCCCACCUUGAUUCCUGGUACUGCCACUAGACUAGAGAGUCACUGAAAGGUACAAGCUGAGUCAUUUCUCUCCCAUGUCACUGUUGGAAGAAACAAAGAUAAUUUGUAUGGAAAGUAAUGUGC